rnacentral:rRNA from 1 species
GACGAACGCUGGCGGCGUGCUUAACACAUGCAAGUCGAGCGGUAAGGCCCUUUCGGGGUACACGAGCGCGAACGGGUGAGUAACACGUGGGUGACCUGCCCUCAGCUCUGGGAUAAGCCCGGGAAACUGGGUCUAAUACCGGAUAUGACUCCAUGACGCAUGUUGUGGGGUGGAAAGCCUUGUGCGGCUGAGGAUGGGCCCGCGGCCUAUCAGCUUGUUGGUGGGGUGAGGCCUACCAAGGCGACGACGGGUAGCCGGCCUGAGAGGGCGACCGGCCACACUGGGACUGAGAUACGGCCCAGACUCCUACGGGAGGCAGCAGUGGGGAAUCUUGCGCAAUGGGCGAAAGCCUGACGCAGCGACGCCGCGUGAGGGAUGACGGCCUGGUUGUAA